rnacentral:rRNA from 1 species
UACAGAGGUCUCAAGCGUUGUUCGGAUUCAUUGGGCGUAAAGGGUGCGUAGGUGGCGCUGUAAGUCGGGUGUGAAAUUUCGGAGCUUAACUCCGAAACUGCAUUCGAUACUGCGGUGCUUGAGGACUGGAGAGGCGAGUGGAAUUCCUGGUGUAGCGGUGGAAUGCGCAGAUAUCAGGAGGAACACCAAUAGCGAAGGCAGCUCGCUGGGACGUUACUGACGCUGAGGAGCGAAAGCGUGGGGAGCGAACAGG